ACACGAAGGGAACGGAGUCAGUACAUGAUAAGAGCCUCUGGGAAGAUGAUCAAGGAAGGCCAGUGGACCGGAUGCUGUUGGAGUAGAAUCUUGAGAACAUAAGGAACGAACCCUUCUCUAGAUGGGUUGUACGUGGACUCUUCUAGAACUCCGGGAAGAGCGACGUGAAUGGAACAGAGUGAUGGAAAGGGGCGUGGCCGGAAAUGAUGUCAGAGAGUUCGUGGGCUCAGAUCUCAGGACCUAGCAAGCCACGGGUAGCUUCAGACUCCUCAGUGGUUGCACAGAGUGCAACAAAGUGUCGGGGAGAGAACAAGAUGGCUGCUCCACGCGAAAAGCAAGCCUCAGCAGUACUCUGGCCUAGUUAAAGCCCAGGCGCUCUUCUCCUUGCACCCAAAUGGACCACACUUGAGAAAUUAAAUAAACAGCAUUUGUCAGGGGC